UGUGUGUGUGUGUGUGUGUGUGUGUGUGUGUGUGUGUGUGUGUGUACAGGUUCAUCUGCGGAUGCUGUCUGAUCCCGUUCCUGGUCGCAGGGUUCCAGGACGCUCAUCACUCCUGCCCGCUCUGCCACGCCCACCUCCACAAACACACCAGGAUGUGACAUCAUCACUACAUGCCAUGACAUCCUCACUACAGGACAUGACAUAAUCACUACAUGGCGUGAUAUCAUCACUACAGGAUGUGACAUCAUCACUACAGGACGUGACAUCAUCACCACAAGACGAGAAGGACUGGUGACAUCAGAAGCCCUAGUCAGAGUGUCCUCUCAGGGCUUUAAACCACUGGACUGGUGUAGACUGGGUUAGGGGAUAGAGAGGUUACAGAGGUUAGGGUUCAGAGGUUAGGGGUUCAGAGGAGGGAAUGAGAGCAUGGCUGUUGGGUUGAAGCCCGAUUACAACAUUAAUUUACACUGUAUUAAAUGUCACUGUAUUCAAUAUAUUAACUAUAUCAUUUAUCAUAUUGCACACUGUAUUAACUACAUUAUUUAUUAAAUAGUGUAUGAGUUA